rnacentral:misc_RNA from 1 species
GAAAUGCGAUAAGUAAUGUGAAUUGCAGAAUUCAGUGAAUCAUCGAAUCUUUGAACGCACCUUGCGCUCCUUGGUAUUCCUUGGAGCAUGCCUGUUUGAGUAUCAUGAAAUCUUCAAAGUAAAUCUUUUGUUAACUCAAUUGGUUUCUACUUUGGUAUUGGAGGUUUUUGCAGCUUCACACCUGCUCCUCUUUGUUCAUUAGCUGGAUCUCAGUGUUAUGCUUGGUUCCACUCGGCGUGAUAAGUUAUCUAUCGCUGAGGACACUGUAAAAGGUGGCCAAGGUAAAUGCAGAUGAACCGCUUCUAAUAGUCCAUUGACUUGGACAAUACUUUUAUGAUCUGAUCUCAAAUCAGGUAGGACUACCCGCUGAACUUAAGCA